rnacentral:misc_RNA from 1 species
AAAAAAAAAAAAAAAAAAAGAUCUAAUCAGGACAACGAUUUCACCAACAUGAUCACAAUGUACUUCAGAGGCAUAAGAGAUGGCUCAAAAUGGAUGUUUUCUAUCCAUAGGAUUGAAAGUGUCUAACUAUCAACCUUUCCAUUUAAUUCAAAAACUGAAGUCAUUGUCAAGAAGGAAAGAAACCUGAUUAUGCUAACGGUGAUAAUAAUCAACUCAAAGAAAUUCCAAUAUGCAAUAAAAAAAGUGUGGCAUUCAAAACUUAUUUCCAGCUCAAUAAGGAAAAUUUCAUUUUCGAGUAUGAAAAAACUAAAAAUUAGCCAAACCAUGGUUUUCUUUUCUAGCAAAAUUAAAUUUUAUAAUAUGUACUUAUC